GACGAACGCUGGCGGCGUGCUUAACACAUGCAAGUCGAACGGUAAGGCCCUUCGGGGUACACGAGUGGCGAACGGGUGAGUAACACGUGGGUGAUCUGCCCUGCACUUCGGGAUAAGCUUGGGAAACUGGGUCUAAUACCGGAUAGGACUACUGGCUUCAUGGGUGGGGGUGGAAAGCUUUUGCGGGGUGGGAUGGGCCCGCGGCCUAUCAGCUUGUUGGUGGGGUAAUGGCCUACCAAGGCGACGACGGGUAGCCGGCCUGAGAGGGUGACCGGUCACACUGGGACUGAGAUACGGCCCAGACUCCUACGGGAGGCAGCAGUGGGGAAUAUUGCACAAUGGGCGCAAGCCUGAUGCAGCGACGCCGCGUGAGGGAUGACGGCCUUCGGGUUGUAAACCUCUUUCAGCUAUGACGAAGCGCAAGUGACGGUAGUAGCAGAAGAAGGACCGGCCAACUACGUGCCAGCCGCCGCCGUAA
rnacentral:rRNA from 1 species